rnacentral:sRNA from 1 species
AGUUUAGAAAUUUUGUG